UCUAAAUAUGGGAGUAUUGCCGACAGAUGAAACAAAGAACGUUUAUUUUGCGUCCUUUGAAAAAAAAAAGUGGAUUUUUAUUGAACGCUGCUUCUUUGCUGCACUAGCUUUUAUUAUUUCCCGUACGGUAUUAUAUGCAUUCGAAUACAUACUUGUUGAAACCAAUGCAGUAAACCAAGCCAUGAAUAUGAUCUCAACAUUCUACGUUCUGCACAGUAUCUUUUUAUUACUCGACUUUAUGUUUUUUUUCAUCUUUGCCGCAGUAAAUAAUGCCAGGGAAAAACCAGAAAAUAUGCUACUUGGAACAUUU